GACCUCGUAGCUCAGUUGGCAGAGCGUUGGCUAGUAUUCCAAAGGUCGUAGGUUCGAAUCCCACCGUGGCCA
rnacentral:tRNA from 1 species